rnacentral:tRNA from 1 species
GCAAUGACAGUUCAGUGGCAGAAUUCUCUCCUUCCAUGCAGUAGACCUGGGUUCGAUUCCCAGCCAAUGCA